GGAUGUCUUUGAGAAUCUCUAGUAUUUUAGGUGAAUGAUAAGAUAAGUUUUUGACACGACCUAAUAAUCCGGGGGGGGGGGGGUUGUGUCCAGAUCAAUGACAUCUCCUUGGCCGACUACAUUGCCGUGUCCGUGGACAAGCAUGCUACCUUUGUGCCCCAUACCGCUGGACGGUACUCCGUGAAGCGUUUUAGGAAGGCGCAAUGCCCCAUUGUGGAGAGGCUGACCAACUCCCUGAUGAUGCACGGCCGCAAUAAUGGUAAGAAGUUGAUGGCUGUACGCAUCGUGAAGCACGCGAUGGAGAUUAUUCACCUACUGACCGACCAGAACCCUAUCCAGGUCAUCGUCGACGCCAUCAUCAACAGGUGGGUUCUCUCGAAGUUCCAUGAGGUGGCACGGGAGACGUUUGAAUGCUUGGGCGUGUGUGUGUUGUGAAGCUGGGAAAGGUUUUUAGGCAUUAUUUGGUAUAAUGCCAGGGUUUUAAAGUAAGAGGGAGUCAUGGUGUGAGUGCAGUGGACCUCGUGAGGAUGCUACACGUAUCGGAUCCGCUGGAGUUAUCAGGAGACAAGCCGUGGAUAUUUCCCCUCUGAGGAGGGUAAACCAAGCUAUCUACCUGUUGACAACUGGUGCCCGAGAGUCCGCCUUCAGGAACAUCAAGACGAUUGCGGAGUGCUUGGCUGACG
rnacentral:lncRNA from 1 species